UGUGAUGCUAUUGGUUAUUGUUGCCUGAAAACUAUCAUCUAGUCAUCUGUUCGUUCUGCAAAUAGCGUUGGUAAUUUUGAGGCAUCAUCUGCUAAUCAUUUGAAUCCUUGCCCCUUUUCUUGUUUAACUUGCUGGCCGGGAAAUGCAGCCUGGCUAUCAAAGGACGAGGUGCCCGUGUCUUCUGGUCGAAUCCUCUCACACAAA
rnacentral:misc_RNA from 1 species